AUGAAGAAAAGAGGGAGUGCGGGAGUUACCUAUCGGAGACGCUCCGAUGGAAUUUCAAUUGCGAUAGUAACGGAACCAAAAACCCUGCUCCAAGCUGCACACUCCAUAGGAAGCAAUAUGGAUCGAAGCUACUUAGGAUUCAGUGCAAUGAAGAUACUGCAGAUUGGUCGAGGUUUACGAACUAGAAGUGUUUGUUGGUGUAAUGAUGUGUGCUCUAAUUGUUGUUACGUUGAAGAAGGUGAUAAUCGAAGGUUGAAGAUAGAGUAUAGAUGGAGAUUCAAAGAGAGAAGAUGA